rnacentral:rRNA from 1 species
UUGAAGGGCUGCAGUAUAUUGACUGUACAAAGGUAGCAUAAUCAUUAGUCAUUUAAUUGGUGACUUGAAUGAAGGAUUGGAUGAAAUAUAAACUGUCUCUUAGUUAUAUUUUUAUAGAAUUUAAUUUUUUUAUUAAAAAGUUAAGAUAAUUUAAAAAGACGAGAAGACCCUAUAGAGUUUUAUAAAUAUUAUAAUUAAGAUUAUUUUGUAGAUUAAAUUUAAAAUUAGAAUUGUUUAUUUUAUUGGGGUGAUAGAAAAAUAUAUAAAACUUUUUUUAUAUAAUAUAUAUAUAUAUAUAUAUAUAUAUAACAUUUAUAAAUGAUUAAAUGAUCCAAUAAUAUUGAUUGUAAGAAAAAAUUACCUUAGGGAUAACAGCGUAAUU